CGAACGGGUGAGUAACACGUGGGCAACCUGCCCAAAANAAGGGGGGAGUAACACUUGGAAACAGGUGCUAAUACCGCAUAACCAUAGUUACCGCAUGGUAACUAUGUAAAAGGUGGCUAUGCUACCGCUUUUGGAUGGGCCCGCGGCGCAUUAGCUAGUUGGUGGGGUAAAGGCUUACCAAGGCAAUGAUGCGUAGCCGAACUGAGAGGUUGAUCGGCCACAUUGGGACUGAGACACGGCCCAAACUCCUACGGAAGGCAGCAG
rnacentral:rRNA from 1 species